GAAGAAUAUGACUUUGCUAUUGCAGCGGUGAGGGAAGGUGCUGGGGGUGAAGGUCCAAGGGGAAGUAAUGAGCUAACUGUAUCAACAGUUUGUGGAGAACCAUCAGCACCAGUAGUCAACGCAAAUUCGAGUAACAAAUUUGCUAAAAGGAUCAACAUUUAUUUGCAACGAUUAACGGUUACCGAGUCCAAGUGUUCAACUGGUGUAGACAGUUAUACGAUAUCCUAUAGACCUGUUAAUACAGACGUGUCUAUGAUCACUGAGAAAACAACCAUUAAUGAUUUUUAUACAAUAAUGGAACUUCAAACAUACACAGAAUACAGCAUCUCUGUAACAGCAAGUAACAAAGACUUCCCUGGAAUGGCAAGAGUGGUACAAGUGUUUUUUCACCUGAAGAGAGUUAGUGCUCUUUCUAACCUCUGUCCACACUAUCAAUUUUAUUAUACCUUUAUAAAUGUUGUGGUAUGGCACUUUCAUGCAAAUUUAAGGAAGAAUCACAGAUUUUUGUCACAUAAAACGUAAUAGUGUGACCAGAGCUUAACAAUAAGCUUAGACAAAACUAAUUACUAAUGUUAAUAUUUGGGAACAACCAUUGUUUUUUCAGAAGUCACUAUUACAAGGCUCAUAUAAAGUUUUAUUGACUUAAAAUUAUAACUAAGUGAAAACAAAUAGAUUAACAUACAAAUCAAAUAGAUAAAAUUUGGACUUUAUAGAUUUUAGAACCAGGUGUAUGUAAAAAUAGAACGUGUAUAAUGGAAUCACUUGUACUAUAUGUUGAAUACAGGCAUAUGAAUCAAAUUGGCGAUGGCAAUACUAUAGUAAAAAUAAGACAUGCAGGAAAUGUACAGUGACAAAUGCCAAUAAUAUCUUAUUACGAAAAUACUACGUAAGUUUCCAUAUGUCAUUUUUUUCAGCUUCGUAGUUACAGAGUGCAACCAGGUUUAAUACAAAAUGCGAGAUAACCUUCAUAUUAUUACAACAUGUGAAAAUUAAUUACGAUAGAGAUAAGUAUCUCUAUGGUUCCGCAAAGUAUUAUGAUUUUAUCAAUGUACAAUAUACGUUUCAUAAUGACAUUUUAUGUCAUGCAAACCUUCAAACGACAUUUCAUCACUUCAAUAAUUUUCACUGUUUAAUUUUCCAGUACCUCCAGUUCCAGGAGUCUCAGCAACACAGGAUGAUUCAUUCCUCACCGUUUAUGUGUACCCAUCUGAGUCAUUCAGCAGAAA